UGAUUGGCGUUGUUCUCGUAAUGCAGUCUUUGUCUAUUCCGUUGUUCUCGUAAAUUUAAAUUCAUCGCAAGUUGAUUAUGAUUUAGGAGUAUUUUCCUAUCAGACAUUAAGUGCCAUCAAGUACCAGAUUAUACCUCAUUUACUUUUUAUAAAAGUUCUAGCAUACAUCAAAACCAACACAUAACUAAGCGAAUAUGAAAGUAAGUUGCACGAGCCACAUGAACUGUUGUCCAUAAAGACUGAUAGAGUUUCAAAAAUCAUGUAAAGUAUAGGGAAAAUAGUAACGUGAUAAUAGAACAUUCAAUUAGCCUAAUAGAAUAACCGAGAUAAUAGAACCGAGAGCCUUUCGGUUUAAACAAGAAGUUUGUAAAUCAAUAUUGAAGAUUAGAAAAUAAUUAAGUAUGAAAGAUCAUGUUGCCGGUCAUACAGUUCGCAGCAGAAAGGUCUGAUAGAAACUUGUUGAAAUAACAACCGUACACAUUUUGAGCAGAGAAAAUCCAUCAUCGAUCUCCCGGAAUUGUGCUAGGUUUCCCAACUGAUUUCUCUAUUGAUUCCAACCAUGUUUUAUAUGUGAAACAUAACAUUAGAGUCAUAUACAAUAGAGACAUAUAUAACACUGUAGGGACGGUCCCGUGAGCCAAUCUUCAAUUCGUACAACUCAAUGGCAUGCUCGUGAUGGGUUCAAGCCUAGAAUGGACCGUUCCCCGGUGGCAAAGACCAGCUAUUCGACUAAGUGGUAGCUGUAUAACCUUGAUAAUCCGCGGACAUGCUGGUAGGACGCUACCCCAAAUGGAGGAAGAAGAAGAAAAAUAGAGAACAAAGAACAUGAAUGUCAACUACAAUUGCGCCAACAUCGGUGGUGGUGGAUAUGGUGCAUCGAAUGUUAUGAAUGAAUCGGUCGAAAGUAGUUGGACAGUUGCUAAGCUGCGAUGAACUCGAGUCAUUUUGUAGCAGAAUAACAAGCCAAUUGAAUUCGAAAACGAAAUCCUGGCUUUGCUUCAGAAACGAUGACGAAGUAGUAAUAAUACAUACAUGAACAUCACCCAGCAUCAUAUUGUAAGCGGAAGGGGAAUGAUGAUGGUUUUUUUCGAAACAGCAAACUAAUGCUCACAUCACAGGUAUUUAAAGAAUGACUUAUUGGGUACUUAUCAUGGUUGUAGAGACAGUUUUGGAUGAACUUUGUUCGUUGGACUUGUUCACUAUAAGACCAACUGACUGACUGAAAUUUCUGCUGUGUCCCAUGAGCUCAAAAUGGAGUAAUACCUCUAGCGGAGCCUUCCGCCGGCAUAUUAUUCUCAACAGCCACGAAGAAUGGCCACGCAGUAUUGCUAUCACCGGCUAUGAUCGAUGCCUAAUAACUUCAACUAUCUUUAGUCAACAUGUUGGACUUCG